GGCUAAGUAAGCUCGACAAUGGCAGGAAAGUGUCCUCUGAUGUUAGGGCACUCACAGCGUGGAUGGUAGAGGUGCAGUGAGGUGUUUGGCAGCCAUCAUUCGGCCUAGUUGGGAUAACUGUAGAUGGGAUUUCUGUGGUAGGCAGAGCUAUUCGGAGAGUCAAAAAUGGGUCGCAAGAGAAUAGGCAGCAGCUGAAAUAGCCUGUCCUUCGGUCGGUCCCCGCUCA